AAGAGUACAAAAAAGUUAGCUGCUAACUAAACUUAAGAGCGGUUAAAAUCCGUUCAACUCUUA
rnacentral:tRNA from 1 species